rnacentral:rRNA from 1 species
GAGUUUGAUCGUGGCUCAGAUUGAACGCUGGCGGCAUGCCUUACACAUGCAAGUCGAACGGCAGCACGGGAGCUUGCUCCUGGUGGGCGAGUGGCGAACGGGUGAGUAAUGCAUCGGAACGUAUCCUGGAGUGGGGGGAUAACGUAGCGAAAGUUACGCUAAUACCGCAUAUUCUGUGAGCAGGAAAGCGGGGGACCUUCGGGCCUCGCGCUCUUGGAGCGGCCGAUGUCGGAUUAGCUAGUUGGUGAGGUAAAGGCUCACCAAGGCGACGAUCCGUAGCAGGUCUGAGAGGAUGAUCUGCCACACUGGAACUGAGACACGGUCCAGACUCCUACGGGAGGCAGCAGUGGGGAAUUUUGGACAAUGGGGGCAACCCUGAUCCAGCCAUGCCGCGUGAGUGAAGAAGGCCUCGGUG